AUGGGAUGUUGAAUAACAGUAGCCCACCAUAUUGCAAAAGCUGCAAAUGUUGCCACCUGCUGUUCUGUUAUGCUAACUUUAGCUUGUAAGUCAUUGAUUGGUUAUGGAAUCCACACACCAUGUUCUCAUCAAGAACUUAAUUGGUAGCUGAUUUAAAGGAAACCACAAAAACCCGUAGACACGGUGGACGCCUUGGGAUUCAGUUCGACACAUUCCGAGUUGUAGAGCUCUGACUUGGAUGUCCUCGGAAAGGGAAAUGGGGACAAGAAGACUAGAGACUUAGUCUGAAUGUCAGUUCUUCUGCCUAAAAUAUUUAACUUCAGACAUACCAGAACCGCCCUGUAAAGCAGGUUACCUUCUGAAAACCGAACUACAUUUUGGUAACACGCUGCACAGGACUGGCCCAUUCUGUCUGGCCCAGCGGGUGCAGUCCAGAGCUACAUUUUUGCCAUCUGUCCUGGCAUUUUUUUCCCCAAGGAUAGGUCUCAAAUGUUUGGAGCACUGAAGGCUGUCAAUCCCCCAGCUCAGCAGCAGAACUGCAUUUCUUACCUUUCUUCCCAAGAUGUACAUUAAAAGCCAUGGACCUUCCA